GAAGGGCUGUUGCUUAGUGGUAGAGUUUCUGUCUUGCAUGCAGAAGAUCACAGGUUCAAGCCCCAGCAUCUUCA